UGGGGAAUAUUGGACAAUGGGCGCAAGCCUGAUCCAGCCAUGCCGCGUGUGUGAAGAAGGCCUUCGGGUUGUAAAGCACUUUUGUCCGGAAAGAAAAGCGCCUGAUUAAUACUCGGGUGUUAUGACGGUACCGGAAGAAUAAGCACCGGCUAACUUCGUGCCAGCAGCCGCGGUAAUACGAAGGGUGCAAGCGUUACUCGGAAUUACUGGGCGUAAAGCGUGCGUAGGUGGUUUGUUAAGUCUGAUGUGAAAGCCCUGGGCUCAACCUGGGAACUGCAUUGGAAACUGGCUUACUAGAGUGCGGUAGAGGGGUGUGGAAUUCCCGGUGUAGCAGUGAAAUGCGUAGAUAUCGGGAGGAACAUCUGUGGCGAAGGCGACACCCUGGACCAGCACUGACACUGAGGCACGAAAGCGUGGGGAGCAAACA
rnacentral:rRNA from 1 species